GCUCAGCCCUAAACUUAGAUAGCAAAAUACUACCUAUCCGCCAGAGAACUACAAGCAAAAUACUUAAAACUCAAAGGACUUGGCGGCAUUCCAUAUCAACCUAGAGGAGCCCGUCCAAUAAUCGAUAAUACACGCUCAACCCAACCAUUUUUGGCCACUCCAGCCUAUAUACCGCCGUCGUCAGCUAACCUUGUGAAAGAAAAGUAGUAAGCACAACAGCCCUCACUAAAACGUCAGGUCAAGGUGUAGCUAAUAAAAUGGGUGUGAUAGGCUACAUUUUCUAUUAUAGAAAAGACGGAAAAUACAAUGAAACCUUGUAAUAGAAGGUGAAUUUAGAAGUAAACUAAGAAAGGAUUCUUACUUUAACAUCGCCCUGGAAUGCGCACACACCGCCCGUCACCCUCCUCAAUAACCAGAUGAGGCAAGUCGUAACAUGGUAAGCGUACUGGAAAGUGCGCUUGGAUUA
rnacentral:rRNA from 1 species